rnacentral:rRNA from 1 species
GACGAACGCUGGCGGCGUGCUUAACACAUGCAAGUCGAACGGAAAGGCUCUGCUUUUUUGGGGCGCUCGAGUGGCGAACGUGUGAGUAACACGUGAGUAUCCUGCCCUCGACUGUGGGAUAACUUCAGGAAACGGGUGCUAAUACCGGACAGGAGCUCCUGCUGCAUAGUGGGGGUAGGAUAGUUUCGGGGGUUGGGGAUGGACUGGCGGCUUAUCAGCUUGUUGGGGGGGUUGUGGCUUAUCAAGGCUUUGACGGGUAGCAGGCCUGAGAGGGUGACCGGCCACAUUGGGACUGAGAUACGGCCCAGACUCCUACGGGAGGCAGCAGUGGGGAAUAUUGCACAAUGGGAGGAAGCCUGAUGCAGCAACGCCGCGUGCGGGAUGACGGCCUUCGGGUUGUAAACCGCUUUCGCCUGUGACGAGGCGUGAGUGACGGUAAUGGGUAAAGAAGCACCGGCUAACUACGUG